rnacentral:rRNA from 1 species
GAUGAACGCUAGCUACAGGCUUAACACAUGCAAGUCGAGGGGAAACGGCAUUAAGUGCUUGCACUUUUUGGACGUCGACCGGCGCACGGGUGAGUAACGCGUAUCCAACCUUCCCAUGACUAAGGGAUAACCUGCCGAAAGGCAGACUAAUACCUUAUGGUCUUCACUGACGGCAUCAGAUGUGAAGUAAAGAUUUAUCGGUUAUGGAUGGGGAUGCGUCUGAUUAGCUUGUUGGCGGGGUAACGGCCCACCAAGGCAACGAUCAGUAGGGGUUCUGAGAGGAAGGUCCCCCACAUUGGAACUGAGACACGGUCCAAACUCCUACGGGAGGCAGCAGUGAGGAAUAUUGGUCAAUGGGCGAGAGCCUGAACCAGCCAAGUAGUGUGCAGGAUGACGGCCCUAUGGGUUGUAAACCGCUUUUGUAUGGGGAUAAAGUCAAUCACGUGUGAUUGUUUGCAGGUACCAUACGAAUAAGGACCGGCUAAUUCCGUGCCAGCAGCCGCGGUAAUAAGGAAGGUCCGGGCGUUAUCCGGAUUUAUUGGGUUUAAAGGGAGCGUAGGCUGGAGAUUAAGUGUGUUGUGAAAUGUAGACGCUCAACGUCUGACUUGCAGCGCAUACUGGUUUCCUUGAGUACGCACAACGUUGGCGGAAUUCGUCGUGUAGCGGUGAAAUGCUUAGAUAUGACGAAGAACUCCGAUUGCGAAGGCAGCUGACGGGAGCGCAACUGACGCUGAGGCUCGAAGGUGCGGGUAUCGAACAGG